rnacentral:lncRNA from 1 species
GGGCGGGCUCCUGGGGCCGGACCCCGGGGCGCUGAGCCCCGCGCAGCAGGAGCAGCUGCGGGACUUCAAGAUUCAGACUCGGAUUGCUAACGAAAAAUACCUGAGGACCCACAAAGAAGUGGACCUGCUCAUAAGCGGUUUCUUCAGAGAAAUGUUUCUGAAAAGACCAGACAACAUCCAAGAAUUUGCUGCAGAUCCAAGACUUCCCAACAAGAUUCACAUGCAGCUAAUUAAGGAGAAGAAAGCAGCUUAAUUAGCAGAAUCAUGAUGCUCAGCUGCCGAGAGAGACCAGAAAGAAUCCAGCCUUAGGGGUCUCCUGGAAGCAAGGGAGCCCUUUGUCAUCAUCAGUGUGUGGUUCCAAGCCUCCUUGGGCCGUGUCUGCUGUUGCAAAGGCUUUUAAAGAUAUUCAUUAAAAACAGACCUUUCCACUCUUUCUGCUGUAUUUCACUCCAAAGGAGGAAGCCAUCCAGCACAGAGGGCUGUUGUGCCCCUCCUUUGACCUGAGAAGCCACAGGGCGGGUGGGCUGUCUGCGGCAGCCCAUGGGCCUCCGCUAGGUCAGGGGCUGCUCCCACAUGUGCCUCAACACUGUGUCCUCUCUGCCCCUCCAGGCCACUUGCUCCCAAAGCCAAGGCUGGACAAAAGAAUGAGGGCGGGGAUCCUGCGAGGACCACAGUUGAUCAGGGUGGUACUGAAGCCCUGUCCACACUUUAGCAUGGCUUGUUUGUUGUUUGUUUUUCCCAUCUUCCCUCCUGGGUUACUGUAUGGGGUGUACAGGUGGUGGUUUAACUCUUUUCUACCAGCGAUAACAGCAGCUGGGCUGGAAAGACAGUAAAAAAAUGAGAUUGGACAAAGAAAACCCAUUCAGGGCCAUGCCACUUGUAAAAUAUGAAUCUAACAGGUGACUCAGAGGUGGUGGACUUUGUUCUUGAGGAUUUUUACCAACAAGCCACCCGUCCAUUUGGUUUUCAGCUAACAGGCAGGGGAGUGGGCCAGUUGGCCUUUUGACAUCCUUUUCAGGCCCAGAAGGCAUCCAUGUCUUCUGUGUUAUGCCCCGUUCCUUUGGCCUCCACAAUCCACUGUAUGAAGGACCUCUCACCUAUGUGUGUCGUCCACAUCACCAUGGCAACAGAGGCUUAGCCUAAAGCAGGGGCUGUGUUCUUUUUCUUUCCCUUGUCCCUGUCUGUCUCAUUCCCAGCUACCAGCCCCUGCCAUGGUGGAAGGGCAACAAAACCAGGUGGCAAGAGAACUAUUAAAUCUAUGCAUAAUAAGCGAUGUAGCAGGAACCGAAGAGUUAUUUCAAGUGCUUUCAGAAUUACACUUCAGUGGCUAUGGCUCUGACAGUGAGGUAUCCCUGUUUAGAAAAUCCAGAUGAAGCCUUCAGCAGAAAACACAUGUACCAAGGACCUCUGAUGAGAUGUGUUAAAUUAGUCUCUUGAAGGCUUUCCUGGGAAGAGAGGUCUGCAACAAGGUGGGGGAAGAACAAAGUGUUUUUCAGAUGCUUGAGUGCAUGAUAUGAUACUGCAAGAGUAUAGUGACUCAUUCUUGGGGGGUUCCUGGCAGAAAUAAGAAAUGCAUUUCAAAACAAAACAACAACAACAACAACAACAACAAAAAGAAAUGCAUUUCAAUUAGAACAUAUUUCCAAGCCAAGGAAAGAAGGCAUUUGGCACACGGUCCAGAGAGCAUCUGUUCUGUAUGACAUCGUGUGCCAGGUUCUGAGGGUAAGGUGGGGAGGUCAUCCUGCCACGCGGUGCUGUAUGGUCUGGGAGGAGAUGUGGAACUUAUCACCCCAAACUUUAACUGUCCAGA